rnacentral:tRNA from 1 species
GCAGUGAUGGUUCAGUGGUAGAACUCUUGCCUUCCAUGUGGGAGACCCAGAUUCAGUUUCUGCCAAUGCA